rnacentral:rRNA from 1 species
UACGUAGGGUGCGAGCGUUGUCCGGAAUUAUUGGGCGUAAAGAGCUCGUAGGCGGUCUGUCGCGUCGAUCGUGAAAACUUGGGGCUUAACCCUGAGCUUGCGGUCGAUACGGGCAUGACUGGAGUUCGGCAGGGGAGACUGGAAUUCCUGGUGUAGCGGUGAAAUGCGUAGAUAUCAGGAGGAACACCGAUGGCGAAGGCAGGUCUCUGGGCUGACACUGACGCUCAUGCACGAAAGCGUGGGGAGCAAACAGG